ACAAGAGAGUGGCUUGGUGGAGUUGGGGUUCAUGCUGCAGUUUCUCUAUUGCAGAGCUUGAGUAAGUUUCGACCAAAAUCAGGAAUCUGAAAGAAAAGCAUGUCUGCUUUUAAUUUUCUUUCCUCUGAAGAUCUGUAAAUGUCACAGUGAUUGCAGUUUGACCUGACUAGCACUGUCUGAUUGGGGAGGCACAGUGCUCUCACUCUGUAAUAAUGCUGAUUGAUUGCCACACUAUUACGGAUCCCAGCUCACCAGGAACCCAUGAGAAACUUCUCGUCGUACAACUACACCGACUUCUCAAAAAAGGUCUCAACACAGUGGGAUUUUUAAGGCUACACAACUUUGGACCUACGUGCAAGUUCAAGUAACAGCAAAACCCGUGGAACUUGUGUUCACAAACUGUUUAUUCUAGUGGGUUUUGUACUCUGUGACCAUCAUCCAGAAACAAAGAGAGAAGAGCACUCUGAAAAUUGGAGAUCUGAGGGUUUAAAAAGUGUACCAGUAGGUGUUAGUCUGCAAAAAUAUGCGUGGGAGAAAAGGACAGUGAAACUAAGCCACCUAUUAAUACUGUACUUUAAAGGGCAAUAGAUGCCUUUAUCAUUAAAAUAAACUGAGAAAUCUGCCUAAAAGUAAAGAAGGA
rnacentral:lncRNA from 1 species